UGGGGAAUAUUGGUCAAUGGACGCAAGUCUGAACCAGCCAUGCCGCGUGGAGGAAGAAGGCCUUCUGGGUUGUAAACUGCUUUUAUCUGGGGAUAAAAAGGCCUUGCGAGGCAAACUGAAGGUACCAGAUGAAUAAGCCACGGCUAACUACGUGCCAGCAGCCGCGGUAAUACGUAGGUGGCAAGCGUUGUCCGGAUUUAUUGGGUUUAAAGGGUGCGUAGGCGGUUUAUUAAGUCAGUGGUGAAAGACGAUAGCUCAACUAUCGAGGUGCCAUUGAUACUGAUGAACUUGAGUGCACACGAGGUAAGCGGAAUGGACGGUGUAGCGGUGAAAUGCAUAGAUAUCGUCCAGAACACCGAUAGUGAAGACAGCUUACCAGAGUGCAACUGACGCUGAGGCACGAAAGUGUGGGGAUCAAA
rnacentral:rRNA from 1 species